GCACCACAAGAACGCGUGGAGCAUGUGGCUUAAUUUGACUCAACGCGGGAAAUCUUACCGGGUCCGGACACACUGAGGAUUGACAGGCAAUAUCUUGGCUGUUUAAUAAUAAUAACCGUUUAUUAAUAAACGGUUUAUUAAACAGAUCGAGUGUUAAAUAUGCUAGUCCUUUCAUGAUUAUGUGAUAGGUGGUGCAUGGCCGUUCUUAGUUCGUGGAGUGAUCUGUCUGCUUAAUUGCGUUUCACUAAGGGCCCAUAAAUACAAGGUAUGUUAGCAAUCGUCGCUCUAUGGACCCCUUAUUUCAGUUUAUUAAUAAACUGUUAUAAGCGCGCGUCUUGUUUAAAGAGUUUAAGACACUGCGCAUGCUGUUGGGCUCUGAAAGCAACGAACGUGACCGCAACGUCUUGUUGCCUUAAUCAAGUCGGCUGUUUAAUAAUCUGUUUAAUUAAACAGACAGCAGUCAUUAUAUGGCUUAUCCGAGGCUAUCUAAAACUAGACGAACCGCUGUUUCUUUUCUUAAACCAGAGGAAGGUUGCGGCAAUAACAGGUCUGUGAUG
rnacentral:rRNA from 1 species